UCAUCAGAUGAAGUGAAUUGAAACAGUGAAUUAAAGGUUCCAUAUUCAAACUGUGGGAACAGAACCGGGUGGAACCAGCGCUCGUCAGCUGGUGCUAACGUUAGCCUGAGACGCUGUGAGCUAACUCUGAUCAGCGGCAGACGAGUUGACCUUUAACCUGCUGCUAGCUUUAGCCCCUGCGCUAGCAUUUAGCCC